GACCUUUGUAGCUUUUUUGAUGCAUUAUAUCAACCUCUGUAUUUGUUUUGUCAACGUGUCAAGGAUUUAUUUGUCCACUAGUGAAUGAGACCUCUCUAAUUUUGAGACGGCAAUUCUCGUUAGGAAUUACAUAAAUAUAUUUUCAUAAAUUUCAUUAGAUAAUAACGUGUGAAGUUUUCGGUUCAUGAAAUAUUUAGCUGAGCUACAUACCUGGUUUGGUAUUUUUAUGAUUUUUCUAUAAUUUUGAUAAAUUUUGCAAUAUAUCUGUUUUUAUAGAAAAAAAUAAAAAAGGAAAGAAAAGAAAAAAGACUUGCAUGGGCUUGAUCUAGCCCACAACAAAGCCGGCUCACUGCAAGGACUCAUCAUCCAUGUUGAAAAAGAAACCUACACCCGCUCGAAUCUAGAUAUUUUAUAUUAGAACCCUGAUAUAUUUCAAAUUUUCAAAAUUUAUUAAGGUCCUUCCACCUUUUCGUUCUCUCUAGUAUCUUUACAUCUAGAACCCUUUAUUUCUUUCCAUUCUCUUGUAUACUCCAAAUCUGUGUUAGCAACGAGACUGAGACUGAGCCGGUGAUUGGCAAGGAAGAGGCAGAAAAAAUAUAUGGUGAAAAUUUUGGCUUUUUAUUAUUAAGGUAUAGAUAAGAAAUUACAAAUCAUCAAAAUAGAAAAAUAAAAAAAAUUAUCACUCUUUAAUAGGUAAAGGUAUAACUUUGUGUUGUAGUUUGUUUUGCGGUCACGCACGUCGUAUGGGCGAGCGUGGUGGUCCUGAUGCUGCAGGCCUGCAGCAGCCCGCCCAAGCACCCUUGGAUUAGGCCAGCGGUCUAAGGGCACGCCC
rnacentral:lncRNA from 1 species